rnacentral:rRNA from 1 species
GAUGAACGCUGGCGGCGUGCCUAACACAUGCAAGUCGAGCGAACGGACCAGAAGCUUGUGUCGCUGUCGUUAGCGGAGGACGGGUGAGUAACACGUGUAUAACCUACCUAUAAGACUGAGAUAACUUCGGGAAACCGGAGCUAAUCCCGUAGGAUCUUUUGAACCGCAGUGUUCAAAAGUGAAAGACGGUCUUGCUGUCACUUAUAGAUGGAUCUGCGCUUCAUUAGCUAGUUGUUAAGGUAACGGCUUACCAAGGCAACGAUGCAUAGCCGAAGUGAGAGGGGGGUAGGCCGCCGUAGAAGUGGAACGCGGACAAUGGUACUAAGGGACGCCACAGUCGGGAAUCUUACGCAAAGGUGGGGAGCCUGACGGAGCAACGCGACGUGAGUGAUGACGAUCUUCCGAUCGUAAAACUCUGUUAGUAGGGGAGAACAGAUGUGUACGUAACCGUGCAGAUCUUGACGGUACCUAAUCAAAAAGCCACGGCUAACUACGUG